CCUGUGUGGCAACUGGGAUGCACCUGGAGAUUUCUCAGCCAGAGGCUUUCAAACAUUCUCUUUUUGUUCUGCCCGGAUCAUUUUUAGUCCAGCACACCCAUCCAUCGCUUCUGCUUCAUGCUCAGCAGGGCCAGAGGCCUUGAACGCUAUUUCUUGUCCCCAUUUGGUGGAAAGGAAGAAAGGUCAGGAGCUCAAGCAGCAGGGGACGCGCCACCAGAAGGGACAGCGGCAGGAGAAAUGAUAGAGCCUCUCACUGCACAAGGAAUGCCCCCAGAAUAAGAGACGCCCCUGUGCCACUUCCUUUGCCGUCCCCACAUGCCCCGCACUCUUAACGGAAUCCUGAGGAAUGUGGCCAGACCACUCACGCCAGCUCUGGUUCCUCUCCUCUCCACUCUCCAGUUGGCUUAUCCCCCAUCCUUCUCCCCACUCUCCAAACACCUUCAAGGAACAGCCCCAGGGCAGCAAAGAGUCACCCCAAGUAGCUCCUGGUUGACACUCGGGUGUCCACCCGAGAUGCAUAGAGAUAAGUGUUGGUUGAGAAGCUGUUGAAACGUCAAACUUCCUUUUCCUUCUUGGUGGAACAAAACCCCGGAUGCUGGUCCGUGCAGGGGCGUGAUCAGAAAACCUUCACUCGGAGCUCACGUGUAACAGGAGGGCGGGCUGGGAUUUUUCUGUGAGUGGGAUCAAGUCCCCGGCUCACAUGCCUCUUGCUCACAUCCUCUCCCCUUUCAUCGCCCUAAAUCACAGGCUCCAAGCUGAGAAGCUUUGGGUGCUAUGAAGAGCAAACACUUUGGCUUAGUGCGGAAGGCCAGUCAUUAGUGUUUCUUUCAGGCUAUUAAUAGGGUCCAGAGAAACUUUAGCAGAAGUGGAUUAUCGGAAGAAAGUGGCCUUGGCAUGGCUGGUUGUGAAUUAUGAUGAAAAGAGCGAGUUUCCUGAGUAUUUUGCUGAAGGCUUUUCUCUUUCCCUCUGUCAGCUGCAUUCAGGCAAGAAACUGGAGCUGGGGAGCCCGGGCGAUGUCUGCUGUGUGGUUAGCACGGCACUCCACAGCCACACGCCGGGGACGGAAGCCAGCCCGCAGAGCUCCCCCUCCCCCAGUCCUUUCCUGGGAAUCCAGUGUGGUCAGCAGAGCCUUUGGAAAUUGGAAUUGUUUGGAGGUAAAUCAUGGCACAGAGAAGCUGGGGCCCAGAGUUAAUUACAGAGGAAAUGACCCCGGUCUGGUCUCUGUGGGGCUGCCUGGUCCAGUUUCUCAGCACCGCGGGCCCUUGUAGAAAGUAGGAAGGGAGCGGUGGUCCUCUCCUGCCUGCCUCCUUCCCACCCCUUGGCCUUUCUCUCGCCCUCCUUCUCCUUCCCUCUGAUGCUCUGACAGAGAAGCUGGAGCUGCCUGCUUGGAUCCUUGCCAGUGUGGGAGGCCUGGAAACUCUGGUGGCUGUCCCGGUCACCUAGGCCUUGCCACCAACAGAGCCAUGACUCCCGCUGGCUUUCGCGGCGCCUUUGGACCCGGGUGUGGAGCUUUGGUCUCUUGGUUUAGAAACUACACUCGGGAGAGUGGGUCAUCCAUGGUUUUAGGUGUCAGCAGAAGAGAGUGAGGAAGAAAGGAGCCCAGUGAGAAGCCACCCACUCGUCCUUGAAACUCAUGAGGACAGGAGAGGCAGAGAGAGAGGCAGGAGACAGUAACGUGGGGACGCUACAGUCAUUUCUACCGAGGCCAGGGCUCAGCCGACCAGGAGCUCCCACACAGGAGCGGAGGGCCGUCUCCCCUCCGCAGGCACAAGAGAACGAUAGAAAAGCGUCACAAUCAACAUGGCAGCAUCUUUAACCUACGCUCUUCAAGUAUUGCUUGCUGUAAACAGUGUUUGAUUUUUGCUUUCUCUCGAAUUGCCAAGAAACCACGGGCGGACUGGCGUGCAAUCUAAAGCCAGACACCCAUGUCCCCCAGUCAGCUCCCAGAUGGACUCUCCCGGGGGGGGCCACACACCUCCAGGCCCUUUCCCCAGGGUGCCCGGUUCAGGACCGUGACUGAUGUAAGGCAAAGCUGCCCGGUGUCCGCAGGGAGGCCAGGCGUCGGGUCUGGGAGAGGCCCAGCUCUCCGCCGCGUCUCCUAGUAACUUUACAGACACCAAAGGGAAAAGUACCAAAGGUCAGCUCCUCGCUUCUUGAGGUUUGAGAUGAAACAAGAGGAAAACGAACACAAACGCAGUAGCAAAAAAGCACUGGUAACUGUAUGGACACAGAGCUCCUCUCCAGGGAUGAGAGCCCACGGGGGUGUGGUAGGUGAAGCUCUGCGCCCAGCCAGCCGGGUUGAGCCCCCUCCACGGCGCUGCCGUCUGCACCGCGCUCUGUAGCUCCCGUGCUCCUGUGGCUGCCGGGUUUUCCUGGCCUCUGUUUCGGCGAAGCGUUUGGGGUGAACUUGUGCGCGUUCUUCUCCUCCUCCUCAUUUUCUCGUAAUUUCAAGGGGAAGGAAAUGAUCGUUUUCCCUCCAAUUUCUCUCAGGUUCUCUUUGCAGGCUUUUUCUGACAUGUGGGAAGAGGAGUCACUCGAGGAAGGGGGGAGGGAAGAAGGAAGGGGGACAGAAAU